GUAGCCUUGCGGCCCCGAGGUUCUCCGGUCUGGGCCGGAGCUAAGAGGGAACGCGGUGCGACACCGCGGCUGCCCCCGCAACUGUAAACGGUACGAGUCCCCUCACGACGCCACUGCUCACGCGGGAAGGCGAGGGGAUGGCGCCAAGGCGCCCACCGUGAGCCAGGAGACCUGCCUCGAAGGAAGCGCCCCGC
rnacentral:ncRNA from 1 species